AUGCUGAUCAUUUUUUACUUCGUGUUCAUUGUCGUAGUUGGACGAAAAAAAUCAAACAUCACUGCCAUCGUCCAACACCCUCUACCUGAUCGAGUUCAUCCAGGAAACCCAGUCUCUCUACAAUGUUCAGUCCUCUUUAACUCUCAAGAUAAAACCUGUUCAACAGAUCAUAGGGUGUUCUGGUUCCUAGCUGGAUCAGAUCGAUCUCAUCCCAGUUUCAUUUAUGCUCCUGCAAACCACGGUAAUGAAUGUAGGAACAAUUCUGAGGAUCAUUCUGGGCGAAAAUGUAUCUAUAGCUUCUCGAAGAACAUCACUGCUUCUGAUGUUGGGACUUACUACUGUGCUGUGGCCUCAUGUGGAGAGAUUUUGUUUGGAAAUGGAACCAAACUGGUCGCAGAAGGUACCGUAAAUCCAAAGCUUUAA